rnacentral:sRNA from 1 species
UAAGCAAGCACUGUAACAUCCUUCAAAGC